rnacentral:rRNA from 1 species
UACGUAGGGUGCGAGCGUUAAUCGGAAUUACUGGGCGUAAAGCGUGCGCAGGCGGUUCGCCAAGUCAGGUGUGAAAUCCCCGGGCUUAACCUGGGAAUUGCGCUUGAAACUAGCGGGCUUGAGUGUGACAGAGGGGGGUGGAAUUCCACGUGUAGCAGUGAAAUGCGUAGAGAUGUGGAGGAACACCGAUGGCGAAGGCAGCCCCCUGGGUCAACACUGACGCUCAUGCACGAAAGCGUGGGGAGCAAACAGG